ACCGUAAAUAAAAACCCAAUUUAAUUGCACAAGAUUUUUUUUAAUGAGGUGCCAGAUGUCCACGUGAGAAACAAUUACUGUCCGAAUCGUGACAGAAUUUACCUUUGAGUUUAUAAUCAAUGAACAAAAUGUCAGCAAACUAACUGUUCUGCCAACAGAAAAUCUUUGCACAGGUGGAGGAUAGUGGUCCAUGGAGGAAUAGAUGGCUUCAGCAGGAUGAUUGUGUUCCUAAAGCUGCUACAGGAAACAGUGCUUCUGUUGUGCUGCAGUUUCAUUGAAGCUGUGAACCGCUUUGGAUUCUCCUCCAGAGUGCGAUCCGAUAAGGGCCGGGAGAAUGUUGACGUGGCCUACUUCAUGGUGUCCAAUCGAGGGGAAAACCCACACUCCCACAUCACAGGGCGCAGGGUCCAUAACCAAAGGAUUGAGAGACUGUGGAGGGAUGUUUCCCAGCAUGUUCUGGACCUGUUCUCCUGUCUCUUCCUUGAUCUGGAGGCAGAUGGCACGUUAAAUCCUGACAAUGAGCUGCAUCUUUUUGCUCUGCAUUGGACCUAUCUGCCACAGCUUCACAGGCAUCUUGGGUUUUUCCAGGAGGGAAUAAUCAUGAAAUCAAAACAGCAGGCCACCAGUCUCCACUGCAACUCUGGACAAGCUUCCAACAUAUUCAAGAUCCACUCCGGGUGCUUUCAAAUUAAGUGGAUGACUACUAUGGUGUGGACUGGGAAGGACCACACUCCUGUGAGGAAGAGGGUGUGAAGAUCCCCGAGGUUCAACUACCACGAGAACUUACCCAUGAGGAAACUGCAACCUUGCCUCGU